UCGAACUGUAUACUAGCCUUUAGCGGUUACUUAAGGUCUGAACUGCAUAGGAUGCUUUUUAAGCGUUAUAUGAAAUUCUGAUAGCCUGGGUUCUACUAACCUACACCGAAAAUCUGUAAAAUCUGUAUUUUAGCGAAAAAUCUGUAAUCUGUAUAUACAGAAUCUU